rnacentral:rRNA from 1 species
UACGUAGGGAGCAAGCGUUGUUCGGAUUUACUGGGCGUAAAGGGCGCGUAGGCGGCGUGUCAAGUCGAUUGUGAAAUCUCCGGGCUUAACUCGGAACGGCCAAUCGAUACUGACGUGCUAGAGUGCAGAAAGGGCAAUCGGAAUUCUUGGUGUAGCGGUGAAAUGCGUAGAUAUGACAUAGAACACCAAUUGCGAAGGCAGCUAACUACAGGGAUAUUGACACUGAGGCUCGAAAGCGUGGGGAUCAAACAGG